UACGUAGGUGGCGAGCGUUGUCCGGAUUUACUGGGCGUAAAGAGCGCGCAGGCGGCUGGUCAAGUCCGAUGUGAAAGCUCCCGGCUUAACUGGGAAAUUGCAUCGGAAACUGAUCGGCUGGAAGGUGGGAGAGGGUAGCGGAAUUCCCGGUGUAGUGGUGAAAUGCGUAGAUAUCGAGAGGAACACCUGCGGCGAAGGCGGGUUGCUGGGCUGACACUGACGCUGAUGCGCGAAAGCUAGGGGAGCGAACGGG
rnacentral:rRNA from 1 species